GUUAAUGUAGCUUAAAUUAUCAAAGCAAGGCACUGAAAAUGCCUAGAUGAGCCUCACAGCUCCAUAAACACCA
rnacentral:tRNA from 1 species